ensembl:lncRNA THUMPD3-AS1 THUMPD3 antisense RNA 1
UACUAUAGGCAAAAGCUAAUGGAAACAUAGGUAGAAGAAAUGAAGUAAUAGUUAUUGAAUGCUUUUUGUGUACUGCAGGUGUGGAAACAGGAAGAGAACUAGAACUGGAAGUAAAGCAUUGAAGAUGUGACUGAAUUGCUGCAAUCUCAUGAUCAAAUUUGAAUGGAUGAGGAGUUGCUUUUUAGGGAUGAGCAAAGAAAGUGGUUUCUCGAGAUGGAAUCUACUGGUGAAGUUGCUGUGAACAUUGUUAAAAUGCCAAUAAAGGAUUUAGGAAUUACAGAAACCUGGUUGAUAAAGCAGUGCCAGGGUGUGAGAGAGUUGACUUCAAUUUUGAAAUAAGUUCCACUGGCUGGGUGUGGUGGCUCACACCUGCAAUCCCAGUACUUUAGGAGGCCGAGACUGGUAGAUCAUUUGAGGUCAGGAGUUCAAGACCAGCCUUGCCAACAUGGUGAAACCCCACCUCUACCAAAUUAGCCAGGUGUGGUGCACACCUGUAGUCCCAGCUACUUGGGAAGCUGAGGCAGGAGAAUCUCUUGAACCAGGGAGGAGGAGGUUGCAGUAAGCCGAGAUGGCGCCCCUGCACUCCAGCCUGGGUGACAGAGUGAGACCUUGCGUUUAAAAAAAAAAAAAAAGGAAAAGGAAAAAAAAGUUCUACUGUGGGUAAAAUGCUAUCAUGCUAUCAAACAGCAUCACAUGCUACAGAGAAGUCUUGUGAAAGGAUGUCAGUGUGGCAAACUUCAUUGUCUUUUAAGAAAUUGCCACAGCUAUCGUAAUCUUCAACCACCACCACCCUGAUGAGUCAGUAGCCAUCGUUAACGUUGGCGUAAGACCCUCCACCAGCAAAAAGAUUGUUAGCAUUUUUUUAGCAGUGAUGUAUUUAUCAAUUAUACAUAAUGCUAUUGUACACUUCUUAAUAGACUAUGGUAUAGUGUAACCAUAAUUUAUGCACUGGGAAACCAACAAAUUCAUGAGAUUCGCUUUAUUGUAGUGCUCUGGAAUUGAGCCUGCCGUGUUUCUGAGGUAUACCUGUGUAUUUAGUAUGUUCCUUGUAUAUAAAACCCCAUUUUAUAGGGUAGGAAACUAAGGCUUAGAGUUUGAGCAAUUUUCCCAUAGAUAACACCAAUAAAUUGAGGGCUGCAGAGACCACUUAAGUGGUUCUCUUAACAGUAGUCUAGACAUGACGUAAUGAGAUUUGGCUUAGGAGUGACAAUGGUAAGGAAGUUAAAGGAUUCAGGAACCAAAUACCAGUUAUUGAGAAGAAAGAAUGGCCUCAAAACAUCACUUCUCAAGGAAGCCUUGAUACCCUCACCCUUACUACACUGUAUCCUCCAUUUGAAUGUUGUCAAGAGCUCUUCUCACAAUUGUAAAUAAUAAUUGUGUAAUUUUGUUUUUUUUUUCCUACUUUAGGUUGCUCCUUGAGGGCAGGACAGUUCUUAUGGCUUUAUCCGUUGCGUAAGCACAGAGAGGUCUGCGAGGUCAAAACUAUUGUCAUGAUAGCAAGAUGCCUGUCUUUUUCAUUUAUUCUCACGGUGUGCAGAGGCUACAUGAUGUGUGAUGACAUCCUCAUUGAUGUUAAUGAAUGGUGCUAUACUUGAAUUUUCUAAGGUGUCAUUAGGUAGGUUUAGCAAUUCUCCUGCCUCAGCCUCCUGCA